rnacentral:rRNA from 1 species
UACGUAGGGGUCGAGCGUUGUCCGGAGUUACUGGGCGUAAAGCGCGCGCAGGUGGCUCAUUACGCCCGGCGUGAAAGCCCCCGGCUCAACCGGGGAGGGUCGUCGGGUACGGGUGAGCUUGAGGGUAUCAGGGGCUGGUGGAAUUCCCGGUGUAGUGGUGAAAUGCGUAGAGAUCGGGAGGAACACCCGUGGCGAAGGCGGCCAGCUGGGAUACACCUGACACUGAGGCGCGAAGGCGUGGGGAGCGAACGGG